rnacentral:rRNA from 1 species
UUGGAGUGUCUGAGCUCGAAGGAUUGUGACAUACUCGAUGGAGUUUUGUUUUUUCGGGAAGUUUUCGGGGACACUGUGAGUUUGAGCGGAAUCAUAAGAUUUUCCACCUGGUAACUCCGAGCCAGCGGCCGAAGCUAUACGGAAGUGGCGGGCGUUAUCCGGAUUCACUGGGUUUAAAGGGUGCGUAGGCGGGUUGGUAAGUCAGUGGUGAAAUCUCCAAGCUUAACUCGGAAACUGCCGUGGAUACUAUCUGUCUUGAAUUCUGUGGAGGUGAGCGGAAUAUGUCAUGUAGCGGUGAAAUGCUUAGAUAUGACAUAGAACACCGAUUGCGAAGGCAGCUCACUACACGAACAUUGACGCUGAGGCACGAAAGCGUGGGGAUCAAACAGGAUUAGAUACCCUGGUAGUCCACGCCCUAAACGAUGAUUACUCGACAUACGCGAUACACUGUGUGUGUCUGAGCGAAAGCAUUAAGUAAUCCACCUGGGAAGUACGACCGCAAGGUUGAAACUCAAAGGAAUUUGACG